GACGAACGCUGGCGGCGUGCUUAACACAUGCAAGUCGAACGGAAAGGCCUUUUCGGAGGUACUCGAGUGGCGAACGGGUGAGUAACACGUGGGUGAUCUGCCCUUCACUCUGGGAUAAGCCUGGGAAACUGGGUCUAAUACCGGAUAGGACCGCACUUUAGUGUGUGUGGUGGAAAGUUUUUUCGGUGUAGGAUGAGCCCGCGGCCUAUCAGCUUGUUGGUGGGGUAAUGGCCUACCAAGGCGGCGACGGGUAGCCGGACUGAGAGGUUGGUCGGCCACAUAGAGACUGAGGUAAGGCCCAGACUCCGACGGGAGGCAGCAGGGGGGAAUAUUGAACAAGGGGCGCAAGCCUGAUGAAGAGGCGCCGCGUGGGGGAUGACGGCCUUAGGGUUGUAAACUACUUUCGCCAGGAACGAAGCGUUUUGUGACGGUACCUGGAGAAGAAGCACCGGCUAACUACGUG
rnacentral:rRNA from 1 species